rnacentral:rRNA from 1 species
CGCAGCAGUGGGGAAUUUUCCGCAAUGGGCGAAAGCCUGACGGAGCAAUACUGCGUGAGGGAAGACUGCCUAUGGGUUGUAAACCWCUUUUWUCMGSGAGGAAUAAAUGACGUGUACCUGAMGAAUAAGCAUCGGCUAACUCCGUGCCAGCAGCCGCGGUAAGACGGAGGAUGCAAGUGUUANCCVSMMUCACUGGGCGUAAAGCG